CCUCUUCCACUUGCUGCGGACAGAUGAGAUGGAUAUGUGUAUCGAAUCCGCCCGCCGUGACGAUCUUGUUCUCCCCAGCAAUGACAUCCGUCGACGCGCCAAUCACCAAGUCCGGAUGCACUCCAUCCAUGACGUCGGGAUUUCCCGCCUUUCCGAUGCCCGCAAUCAUCCCAUUCUUGAUUCCAAUGUCUGCCUUGUAGAUACCCGUAUAGUCGAUGAUCAAGGCGUUCGUGAUCACCGUGUCCACACACUCGGCCGCUGAUCGUCCCGAGGCCUGUCCCAUCCCUUCACGCAGG
rnacentral:sRNA from 1 species